rnacentral:ncRNA from 1 species
UUUUUAGCAACGAAGGGACACAGUAAUGUCUUAUCUCCCUGUACAGAGAGAGCUGAUGGUUGGUGUGAAUCAGUCAAAGAUAAGGCACGAAUUACACUCCUGGAGCUUCUUUUUCGCUAAAGCGGAGAAGACGGUCUUAUGAUCGUUAACAAUGAUAAAAGUGGUGAAGGAUUUCCUUUCACAACUAGGGUGGUACCGCGAUUAUAAUCGUCCCUACU